rnacentral:ncRNA from 1 species
UGCCAGCCAGGCCUCUGUGACUAUAUCGUAGCGAGGUGGGAGAAAUGUGUGAGACCACUGACAUAGUCGGCGGGGGCACUCGCAAAGCUUGGUGGGGAGUUUGGCUGGGGCGGCACGACUACUAAAACAUAACGUAGACGUCCAAAGGUAAGCUCCGAGGGGAUGGAAACCACUCCGAGAGUAUAAGGGCAAAAGCUUGCUUUAGUUAUUAAUGUAAAUUAAUAAUACUGGAAACAGGGGCCUAGAGAUCCUCUAUGAAACUAAGCAUAGAGGUGACGGAAAAGUUACCACAGGGAUAACUGGCUUGUGGCGGCCGAGCGUCCAUAGCGACGCCGCUUUUUGAUUCUUCGAUGUCGGCUCUUCCGAGCAUGGUGGAGUAUCAGCCACCAAGUGUGUGAUUGUUCACCAACUAACAGGGAACGUGAGCUGGGUUUAGACCGUCGCGAGACAGGUUAGUUUUACCCUACUGCAUCGCGUCCGAGAGUAGGUCGGGGCAGUACGAGAGGAAGUGCCGAUCAGAACCGCUGGUGAUACUUUCGUCUGUUAAGGCGCGAAGUGUAGCUACGUUCUUCUUAUAAUAGCUGAAAGCCUCUAAGCUAGAAUGAGUACUUAAGGACGCAAAGAUAUGAAGACUACAUAUGUAAGGAUGAGGGUUGUACGAUAUAAGCUUCUGCGAGUAUUUCAGACCACUUAUUUCCUUUUUUAGAACAUGCUUGCUCGGAUACAUACAGGAAUUCCGGGGAAAGGAAAAAUUUAUUUUUU